rnacentral:siRNA from 1 species
AGGCAGUGCUUGUCGUGGGUUG